rnacentral:misc_RNA from 1 species
GAUGAAGAACGCAGCGAAAUGCGAUACGUAAUGUGAAUUGCAGAAUUCAGUGAAUCAUCGAGUCUUUGAACGCACAUUGCGCCCCUUGGUAUUCCAUGGGGCAUGCCUGUUCGAGCGUCAUCUACACCCUCAAGCUCUGCUUGGUGUUGGGCGUCUGUCCCGCCUUUGCGCGUGGACUCGCCCCAAAUUCAUUGGCAGCGGUCCUUGCCUCCUCUCGCGCAGCACAUUUGCGCUUCUCGAGGUGCGCGGGCCGCGUCCACGAAGCAACUAUUACCGUCUUUGACCUCGGAUCAGGUAGGGAUACCCGCUGAACUUAAGCAUAUCAAUAAGCGGAGGA